rnacentral:rRNA from 1 species
AUGCGCACGCUUUAUACUCUGUCGCUGCCAUCUUCCGCCGUUCCAUCUUCAGGAGUGACCCAUGCACUGACCUUGCCAAACCCUUCUGCUGUCGACACCACCAUGGCGCCAGACAGUGCCACCCUCUUGCGCGCGCCCAUCAACACGCGUCCAGCAUCGAGACCCAAUUGCGCUAUGUCACCGAGACCGCCUGUCGUUAAUGUUGAAGAUGCAACACUGCUCCACCUAUUGUUCCCUUUAGCCAACACCUGCUCCAAAAUGAUGCCCCCAGGAGGGAGCAUUGUAUCGAAGAUAGAUGUCGUCAUCAUCUGA